AGUGUUUUGAGCUCAGGAAAUUCCAAAAGUCAGUGGAGCAGAUUAGAAGGAAAGUUCUAGAAAUGAAAUGACAUUGGAGUUCCUAAAAGAAAAGAGAAAGAUCAAAUUAUAGGGCUUGCACUGAGUUUCAAAGAGGAUUGGCAAGAUGGGUUGUAGAAUUAAAUGACAGGCAGAGUGUGUAUGUGGAGAAGGGUUGGUGUAAAUGUAUGUGUGUUGGUGUGUGUGUACACAUGCAUGAGAGAGAGAGGAGGGAAGCAACAGAGGGCUAUUGAUGCAAACCUAUAGCCUAAUUAAUUAUCCACGACAGAAAAAGAAAUUCCUCCUACCCUUGCAAGUUGUCUUGUCUUCCUCUGAAUACAAAGUGUAUACCAACAGAAUCUACCAGCCAACCAGAACAGACCCACUUGGUGAUCCACCACAUGCCAUGUGACACUUUCCUCAGCCAUGGGAGGGGGCAACUCUCAUGUGUAGCUCUUGCUGACCCUUUAAGAAAACCCAUUCCGCAAAGUGGUCUCUUUAGAAUCUAUCCUUACUGGAACUGUGUGUGACCUCUAAAACGGCUGUGCUAAAUUACCCUUGUUUGGAGAACUUCAAAAAAUUAUCAGAUGAGAACUCACAGAAGUAUCUUUCAGAGCCACCCGGUGAAUGGAACUGAAAUGCUACAGGAGUUUGCUUUGGGAUGGUAGCUGCAGUGCUGCUAAUGGCUGAGGGCAUCACUGAGAUGUUCUGUAACUCACUGCAGGCGAGAUGCCGCUUCAGUAUCCCAUACCUUUGGCUGCUCUUCGUCUACUAUACCUCCUCACACUUCUCCCAGUCACCUUUCCAGCAGCUGUGAUUCCAGCUGAUUUUGGCCACCCACAUUGAUCUGGACAGGAUGCCUCUCAGAUGGAGUCUCCUCAGCCGCCCAGGUUGGAGUGCAGUGGCGUGAUCUCAGCUCACUGCAACCACUGUCUCCCGGGUUCAAUAGAUUCUCCCAACUCAGCCUCCCGAGUAGCUGGGAUUACAGGCACCUGCCAUCAUGCCUGGCUAAUUAGAGAAUAACUUUUUACAGGACUUAGCAUCAUAUUUUUAUUUGUAUAAAAUAAACAUAAAACUAGAGCUUAUUUCCUGUUAACCAUUUUGUGAGUCUUUUUGUACACUUCCAAAACACCAAUAGCCACUUUAUUAUUUUUCUUUUGCUUUUGUUAGCAUCUUUGGGCCACACAAAUAUUUAGAAGAUUUAUGUGGUAUCAAACUCAUAAUUUUGUGUAAACAAAGCUCACCCAUUUCUAUAUAGUUCAUAUUUCUAAGCCAAGGCAAAGACAAAAUAGGGAUCAUUUUUCUUUGACAAUUUUAUUUAGCAUAAAAGACUAUAUACAGGCAUUACACCUGUAAAAAACAAUUCCAUGUAAAUAAUAAACAUAAACCCCAUAAUUUGGUUUAUAUCUUUAUCCACCUAUCAAAUUCCAUGACCAUUCCCUUAAUUUACAUUUUUACCAGUUUGGUCAGGAUUCAUAGUUGGAGACAGUAGAAUCUUCUUUACCUGAUUGAUGCAAGAGGAAUUACUAAGUGAUAUGACUAGUUCACAGAAUUGUUAAGAGAGCUGAGAAAACAGACUAUGAUGACUUCAUUAACCACAACACAGAAUUAGGCCUCUCAAGGAGUUUCUACCUUUACCCUGCCUCUGCCCCUGUGGAUUUGUGGCUGAAUCAGUGGGCUGGUAUUAGUGCUGUUCCUAUGACGAUGGUUCUAGCUCCAGAAUUACAUCAUCUCUUCCACCCUUUUCCAACAAAAUGUAGCCCCACGUCUGCCUCUCUCCCUUGUAACUCAGUUCCAUAUCAGUUUUGUGUAAGUGCAGCUGUACACAGGAUGGACCCUAGUGCAUAUGCAAUGUCCUAGUUGCAGAGGAGUCUGGGAAACACAGGUUUGGGUGUUCUAGUCUCUACAGCACAAAAAGAUAUGAUAGAAGGGAGUUGAAAUGAGAGUUGAUCAAGCCCAAUCUAAUAGUAUAACUCAUAACUUUCUUAUAUUUCUACUGAGGCCAGAAUGGUCUUUAAAAUGAAACCAUAAUGUUGCUACUCCUGACAUAAAAUCCUUCAGGGAAUUCUAAAGUCAUUCAACAUGGGAACUCUUCAAUAUGCAUUAUAAAACUUUGAUGAUGCAACCCUUAUCCAGGUCUGUAGCCUCAUCUCCUUCCCUCAUAUAUGUAUUUACAAAGUCAGUAUGUGGUUUCAGACCUCCCAAUAUUUGCAUAUUCUGUUCUCUUUGCCUGGAACAUCUUUCUCUGUCUUCUUUCCCUAACUAAUUCCUACUAGUACUUCAAUUAGCUUUGCUAUUAUCACUUGUUCCCAAAGAUGCCCAAUCCCUGUAAUAUGAUGGGAUGUCUACCCAUCUAGCCUCAUAUAAUAUUCUACACAUAUUGAUUUGUAGCACUCAUUUCAUGGAACCGUCAUUAGCCUGAUUUAUUUUUCAG
rnacentral:lncRNA from 10 species